rnacentral:rRNA from 1 species
GAUGAACGCUGGCGGCGUGCCUAAUACAUGCAAGUCGAGCGAACAGACGAGAAGCUUGCUCCUCUGAUGUUAGCGGCGGACGGGUGAGUAACACGUGGAUAACCUACCUAUAAGACUGGGAUAACUUCGGGAAACCGGAGCUAAUACCGGAUAAUAUUUUGAACCGCAUGGUUCAAAAGUGAAAGACGGUCUUGCUGUCACUUAUAGAUGGAUCCGCGCUGCAUUAGCUAGUUGGUAAGGUAACGGCUUACCAAGGCAACGAUGCAUAGCCGACCUGAGAGGGUGAUCGGCCACACUGGAACUGAGACACGGUCCAGACUCCUACGGGAGGCAGCAGUAGGGAAUCUUCCGCAAUGGGCGAAAGCCUGACGGAGCAACGCCGCGUGAGUGAUGAAGGUCUUCGGAUCGUAAAACUCUGUUAUUAGGGAAGAACAUAUGUGUAAGUAACUGUGCACAUCUUGACGGUACCUAAUCAGAAAGCCACGGCUAACUACGUG